rnacentral:misc_RNA from 1 species
GACCGGCGAUAUACUGGGCCACAGCUGCUCUACCUCUACCCACUCAAAUUCAAAGCAUGAUUGCAUAGCCUCAUUAACUACAGAUUACAGAGUGAGUAAAAUGAUUUUGAUCUCUUGUUCUAAUCUCAACCUGCGCCUCAUAAAACCCUAAGUUUUGUAUGCUUUCAUUGAAUUUAAAGUAGCUCAUUUCAAUUAUAGCUUGUUUUUGUGCUCUUAUUAGCUCCCAAUCCAUGUAUUUUGUUCUUUAUUAUCACACAAACAUUGUACUCGAUUUUCAGCUUGAGCUUGCUGUUUGAUGUAUUUAUGUACGCUAAGAAACUUUGUUUACUAAUCCCAAUGGUUGAAUUUGAUAAUGUUGCUCUUAUGCCUGUGUUCCUUUGCAAAUUUGAAGCUUAGGUUUGAACUCAGUGUAAUCUUCAUUUCUGAAACGUGGAAAGUUGCUUUGGUGUCUAUUAGAAUAUGAGGAAAUUGUACAUGGUUGGGUUGUAUAAUUUUUUCUUCUCUAUUUAUUUGUGUUCUUAUGCAGGACCGUUGACUGAAUUUACUAUUCCAACUAUGGUUGAAUCUGUGUCAUUUUUAGGAAAUUCUGUACCUAUUGAAAAUGGUGUUAAUCAUGUUAAAUUGCUUCCUGCAUCUAAUGAUGAUCAUGGGGGUGUAAUAGUCGACAUGAAGGAGCCUGUGGAACCUGACAUCUUUCUUGCCAUGCUCAGAGCUUCAAUAUCACUGUGGAGGCAACAGGGGAAGAGGGGAGUUUGGAUUAAGUUGCCCAUUAAACUUGUAAAUCUUGUAGAAACUGCAGUCAAGGAAGGAUUCUGGUACCACCAUGCUGAGCCAAGUUACCUCAUGCUUGUUUACUGGAUUCCUGAAACUGCAAGUACAAUCCCUGCAAAUGCAUCACACAGAGUAGGUGUUGGUGCUAUUGUCUUUAAUGACAAAAGAGAGGUAUUUUCCAUAACCUCGUUUCUGCUUGCUCUGAUUCUGCUUUGCUUUUAUUUUAGGUCACUUUUCUUAUUCCUAAUCUCUUUAAAACAGAUAUGUUAAUUUUCCUUGCUUUCAUCAUUCCUCUCCUCCAAAAGAUGAGUCUUCAAUUGAUGUAAACAAAGGUCUUAGUUGAUUUCAUCCCUUCCCCCAUGUGUUUGCUUUCUAACUUAAAAGAAGGAAUCUUUUUUAUUUCAUUUUAGUCUCAUCUGGGUUUGGCAUUUAUUGAGUAGACAGUUCUCUAUAAAUUCUUGCAAUUGCGAAAAUAAAUUUAUUUUCUUUCAUAUCACUAUGGAUUCUGAAGAAUUAGUUAAGGAUUGCCAAGGAUUUGUCUAUUAGUCGCGGUGAAAAGAUUAUCUGGCCAAAAGUUCACAUGUUUAGCUGUAAGUUCACAUGUUUUGUGUUCCAAUACUUCAUGAUAUGAACUAUUUUGGAUUUCAGAAUUUAAACAAAAAUUUUCCAUGAAAAUUGCUGCUAUGGGAUCAUCUAAAUUGGUUUGGUAUCAUCUUUAACACACUCUCACACAUAGUUUGUUGAUCCUAAAUUGGAAUCCUCUUGGCUGUUAAGUUCUUGUUUUUGACGCACAUACAUAUAUUGCUGGUCUUUAAUAGGAAUCCUCUUGGUUGUUAGGUGCUUGUUGUGCAGGAAAAAAGUGGCAGAUUUCGAGGAACAGGGGUGUGGAAAAUUCCCACUGGAGUUGUCGAUGAGGGUGAGGAUGUCUUCAUGGCAGCUGUUAGAGAAGUAAAAGAAGAGACAGGAAUUGACACAGAUUUUCAGGAAAUUUUGGCAUUCAGACAGUCACACAAAUCAUUCUU